rnacentral:rRNA from 1 species
CUUAGGGUAUUGCUAUAGCUAUAUUUAGCUAUAGCCUUAGGAUUUAGAUAUGACCGGCCUACUUUUGUAAAACUAGUAGACUUUGGCGUUCCGUAGGUGAACCUGCGGAAGGAUCAUUACAGAGAACAUGCCUUUUAGGGUAUAUCUCCCACCCUUUGUCAAUAAUAUCUUUGUUGCUUUGGCAGGCCUGUUUUACAACAACUGGCCUUGGCUGGUUAGUGCCUGCCAGAGGACCCUUUAAUUCCUGUAUAUUGCUGUCUGAGUACCAUAUAAUAUUAAAACUUUCAACAACGGAUCUCUUGGUUCUGGCAUCGAUGAAGAACGCAGUGAAGUGCGAAAAGUAAUGCGAUUUGCAUGCUCUGUGAGUCAUCGAAUCUUUGAACGCAUAUGGCACCUUUUGGUCAUACUGAAAGGUAUGCCUGUUUGAGAAUCAUUUACUUUCUUGAUCCAUUGAUCAUCAACUUGAUUGAUUGACUGUGGUAUCAGACAUGGACAUUAUUCAUCAAUGAUUGUCUUGAAUUGUGCACGAUUGUGUCGUGAUAGAAUGGCAUUAGUGCUGUGGUUGACCGACCAAUCCCUUUUACCUUUGUUAAUGAUCUCAAAUCAGGCAAGACUACCCGCUGAACUUAA